ACGGAGGAUCCAAGCGUUAUCCGGAUUUAUUGGGUUUAAAGGGUGUGUAGGCGGAUCAAUAAGUCAGGUGUGAAAAAAAUGGGCUUAACUCGAUUCCUGCCUUUGAUACUGUUGGACUAGAGUAUAAUUGACGUGACUGGAAUGUGAUGUGUAGCGGUGAAAUGCUUAGAUAUGUCGCAGAACGCCAAUCGUGAAGACAGGUAACGAAAUUAUUACUGACGCUCAUGCACGAAAGCGUGGGGAUCAAACAG
rnacentral:rRNA from 1 species